rnacentral:rRNA from 1 species
AACGAACGCUGGCGGCAGGCUUAACACAUGCAAGUCGAGCGCCCCGCAAGGGGAGCGGCAGACGGGUGAGUAACGCGUGGGAACGUACCUUUUGGUUCGGAACAACUCCGGGAAACUGGAGCUAAUACCGGAUAAGCCCUAACGGGGAAAGAUUUAUCGCCGAAAGAUCGGCCCGCGUCUGAUUAGCUAGUUGGUGAGGUAACGGCUCACCAAGGCGACGAUCAGUAGCUGGUCUGAGAGGAUGAUCAGCCACACUGGGACUGAGACACGGCCCAGACUCCUACGGGAGGCAGCAGUGGGGAAUAUUGGACAAUGGGCGCAAGCCUGAUCCAGCCAUACCGCGUGAGUGAUGAAGGCCUUAGGGUUGUAAAGCUCUUUUGUCCGGGAAGAUAAUGACUGUACCGGAAGAAUAAGCCCCGGCUAACUUCGUG